GGUGGAUUUGAUCUAAGAUUUAAGAUUUGUCAACGUUCUAAAGCCAUUGGUACAUAAUUGCACACCAAUUACUCGACAAAAUGUCUCAAUGAAGUGCUGCCAUAAAAAUUGAAGUCAUAACGAUGUCCAGCAGAGUUCCAGCAAUAAGCAACUAACACACUUCUACUACAAAUUGCACCACCAAUAUAAUGGACUCGAUUUACUAAGGGAAAGAUUUUGGCAAAUCGAAGGAUAUGAUCUUCAAAAGGACUCGGGAAACUAACUAAUUUUAAGAACACUAAUCAUGGAUUCUUCUGAAGAUCGCUGCAACCAAGGUGAUUUCGAAUUUGCGUUUAACAAUAACAACUUCUCUGAUCGUGUUCUUCGCAUCUAUAUCUUUGAUGAGUCUACACAGUCCCCAUUAGGUGUUUUCGGAAGCUUCAAAUGAAGAAAAGUAAGCUGCAAGUGCAUCUGAAGCUGCAAAUGAAGAAGGGAUGAUGGAAACGAGAGAAUAGAUAUCUAUUUAUAAAUGAAGAAGAUGAAACACAAUCGGUUCGG